rfam:Cavia porcellus supercont2_11 genomic scaffold, whole genome shotgun sequence.
UGGCGCCCAACGUGGGGCUCCUGGCAUGGAGGAUUCAACGAGCAAGCUGUUUGGAGACGCCAACCAAAAGUGAAACUAAAGAUCCAAGGCCUACGCUACGUGGGAGCCUGCUGCACCCUUUGAGCCAUGGUAAGUGAACGGCGAUCCCUUCCCCCUUUCCCAGCAUGGGUCAAGCAUUGAGUGACCAUGAACUUUUUGUGGGAGGCCUAAGUAAGGUGUUAAAGACAAAAGGGAUUAAGGCUAAAGAAAAAGAUUUAUUACAAUAUUUUCAACUUAUUCAUAAGGUUUGCCCCU